rnacentral:rRNA from 1 species
UUGGAGGGCAAGUCUGGUGCCAGCAGCCGCGGUAAUUCCAGCUCCAAUAGCGUAUAUUAAAGUUGUUGCAGUUAAAAAGCUCGUAGUUGAAUUUCGGGAUCAAUGUUUCGGUCAUGCCGUUGGUAUGUACUGAUAUUAUUGGUUUCUCACCUUCUAAAGAACCGUAAUGCCAUUAAUUUGGUGUCACGGGGAAUUAGGACUGUUACCUUGAAAAAAUUAGAGUGUUUAAAGCAGGCUAACGCUUGAAUACAUUAGCAUGGAAUAAUGAAAUAGGACAUCGCAUUCUAUUUUGUUGGUUUCUAGGAUCGAUGUAAUGAUUAAUAGGGAUAGUUGGGGGCAUUAGUAUUCAAUUGUCAGAGGUGAAAUUCUUGGAUUUAUUGAAGACUAACUACUGCGAAAGCAUUUGCCAAGGAUGUUUUCAUUAAUCAAGAACGAAAGUUAGGGGAUCGAAGACGAUCAGAUACCGUCGUAGUCUUAACCAUAAACUAUGCCGACUAGGGAUCGGAUGAUGUUGAUUUUUUAAUGACUCAUUCGGCGCCUUACGGGAAAC